AACCCCCUUUAAAAAGUGUAUGAAUGACCUCAUUUAUGCAAUCAAUACGACACUUUCAACAUAGCGGAUCUCUUGAUCUCUCGCAUCAGUAUAGAAGAACGCUAUGCGAAAUGCGUAUACGUAAUGUGAAUUGCAGAAUUCAGUGAAAUCAUCGAAUCUUUGAACGCACCUUGCGCCCCUGUGGUAUUCGCGAGGGGCACAACCGUUUGAGUGUCGNGAAAACCUCAACCUCCUUGGUUUCUUUCUGGAGACUGAAGGAGGCUUGGACUUUGGAGGCCUUUGCUGGUGUCUCUCACCACAUCCUCUUAAAUGAAUUAGCGGCGUCCUCUUUGACGAUCCUCGACUACGUGAUAAGAUGCAUUCCGUGUCUCGGUUUCUGGCUCUGUUGCAUUUUGGGACCCGCUUCUAACCGUACUGGACCUUGUGUCGAGACAAUGUNCGAGAUCGUCUCCCUUCUCGGGAAACCACCUCGA
rnacentral:rRNA from 1 species